GAUGAACGCUGGCGGCGUGCCUAACACAUGCAAGUCGAGCGUGAUUUAUGAGGACGAAACUUCGGUCUAGGAAUCAUAAUGAAAGCGGCGGACGGGUGAGUAACGCGUAGGCAACCUGCCCUUAACACAGGGAUAGCCUCGGGAAACCGGGAUUAAAACCUGAUGAUGCCAAAGAGUCACAUGGCUCGUUGGCCAAAGAUUUAUCGGUUAAGGAUGGGCCUGCGUCUGAUUAGUUUGUUGGUGGGGUAACGGCCUACCAAGACUACGAUCAGUAGCCGACCUGAGAGGGUGAUCGGCCACAUUGGAACUGAGACACGGUCCAAACUCCUACGGGAGGCAGCAGUGGGGAAUAUUGCACAAUGGGCGAAAGCCUGAUGCAGCAACGCCGCGUGAGCGAUGAAGGCCUUUGGGUCGUAAAGCUCUGUCCUUGGGGAAGAAACAAAUGACGGUACCCAAGGAGGAAGCCCCGGCUAACUACGUGCCAGCCGCCGCGGUAA
rnacentral:rRNA from 1 species